AGGUAACAUAGAAGAAUUGCUAAAAAACUACUCCCCCGGCCUCUGUUCUAAUCCAACAAAACCACCAAAAAACAUGGGUUGCAGUCAAAUUAGUUUCCUAAACUAUCAAAAUAACCCUAUCUACCUACCAAGUGAGUCCUUCUCUAUAAUCUUCUGUGUUCUGUUUCUUCAUAUGUUCUGUUACAGUUAACUCCAAUUUCCUCUUGAGUUCAAGCUCUUGAGUUUUUUGUGAGGCCACCUCAUGAUUUUCAGCUCCCUGCACCUUUUCUUGAGGUGGGUCAAGCCAACAUUCAUGUUCUUCGCCACCUCAGUUAUCUUCACCCCAAAAUGCUUCUUGAUUUCAGCAAAUUCCAACUUUCUUGAAGAACUCUUCACCCCUCUGACUUUGCUGCUGCUGCUACUGGGUAACAUUAACGCCAAUGGCAUUGGCAUCUUCUCUAGCUUCUCCUCCUCCUCCAUCUCUUUCUUUACAGUAACAAUCCUAAACUAAAUACCACCGGAACCACCACCACAGUGAACGCUGCGAGCAGGAAGAGCAACUUUGAGGGGUUUUUGUUCGUUGACCCCAAAAUCUUCAUCGAGAGGUGGGAGCUGCUGGUUGAAGUAGCGGCUGAAAUUUUUCAAGAUCGCCGAAGUCGUUGAAGGCAAGGUGGUUGCUUCAAUUAACAGAUCUGAACCCUUGUGCUCUGGUAUGACACCAUCAGAUCUGUCACGCUUUCAUUCCCUCGAUGGUGGUUGCUGGUAGAACAAAUGGAUCUCGACGUUUCCUCUUCCAAGCUUCGAUCUUCUCUCGAUCUCACUCUCUCUUUGCAAAGGUGUUCUCUUGGAAAAAAAGGAAGGGAAGGAAGAGGUGGUGGCGCUGGUGUGGGUAAGGUUUUGUGGUUGGGGAAAGAGGAAGGGAAUAAAGGGGUGGCGGCUGGAAUGCUGCUAGUGUGGGUAAGGUUUUUAGUUGAUGAACUUUUGGGCUUGCUAAAGAACAAGGUGAAUUUCUGGUUUGGAUUUGGGAUUAGUAUUGAUUUGAUUAUAGAUUAGUAUUGAUUAGAUUAGGUUUUUUUAGAGAUUAUAUUAAAGUUAUAUUUUUAAGUUAUGACUUGGAAUAAAAAAUUUAAGUUUUUGAAUUAAUUAUUUUUUAAAAAAAAUUAAAUGUCACGUGUAAAAGCUGAGUAGGCUAAAAUUGAAGCCACAUCACCGUCUGACACCAUUUGUCCUUAAUUGAAUUUAAAAUUUUUUCUUAGGGACCCAAUUUGAUGAAAAAAAAAUUUAGGUCCUGGAACUGAUUCCCUUUGUAAUUCCAGGGGUCAUUUGACCCUUUAAGCCUAAUCCAAGCCUACUGAUACAAAGUUUAGCUACAGAACACUAUCUAAGUAAGAGGACCAACAGGUAGCUCACAAUCACAGAAAAACAGCAAGGAGAACAAUUGAAAUUUCCACCACAAGUCUUCGAAUAGCUCUCCUAGGCCUUUAUAAAUCAAGUCUGCAAAGAUAGAAUACCAGAUGGGAAUCCGCAAGCACAAAUGCAGCAGAGGUAACAAAUUCAGAUUCCACAUUAGUAUCACAGGUUCUCAAGACAGAUUCUUGGAUGAGUGCUCCAGUCAAAGAAUGAACUUGUAAAACUAAAAUUUCUCGCCCUUAACCAGUACCAUGCCCUCAAUUGAGCAAGCUCCACAACUCUUGCCACCUCCAUAUGAAUGUUCUUGAAUAUGAUCAUUGUUCCGAUGUAGCCACAGCGACCAUGUUGUUCCCAUCGGUUGGGUUGGGUACUCCUUGUACCCCAUUAAUAUCAUUCUUAUUAAAAAAGUGACUUCUCUUUUAAAAAAAAAACACACACACACAUAUAUAUAUAUAUAUAUAAAAAGAUAAUUGGCUGAAACUAUUUGGACCAUCCCCAUUUACUAUUCACACCAUUGUUUAAGUGCGAAAAUACAUUUAUACCCCCAUAUAUUUUAAAAAAAACUACUUCAAUUUACAAAAAAAAAAAACUAAUCUCACCAUCUCCCUCUCUCAUUCUCACGCUGAGACUAUCUGGAAAGCCUUCUCCCAAUUGGAAAAAAAACCCUAGCCUCCAUCUCCCACCGGUUUCAGUCUCACCACCGGCCAAACCGUACCCUCCCACCACCAUACUCACUGUAUCACGAAGGAGAAGAAAGAAAGAGGAAGAAGGAAAAGGACGAAGGAGCAAAGGAACAAGAAAGGAGGAAGAAGAAGAAAGAAGGAGCAACGUAACUGAUAUGGCAUGGCGAGAACAAAACAAACAAACCGCGUUGUGGGAAAGGCUUCACAACCACCUCAUCCUCCACGAGACCGUUCGAAAACUCAUGCUUCGGCUCGCCGAAAUCGUUAGGGGACUCAGGGUAUGGGAGAUGAAGUUCAGGAGGGUGUGCUGAUUAAUGCACGACACUAGGAAGCGGUGAAUGCUGAUAUUGAGGGUGCUCAAGGAGAUUAUGCUGGUUCGGAGUAUGAGAAUGAUAAUGAGAAUGAGGUUGAGAUAGAUUAUGAGGAUGGUGAUGGUGAGCAGGAUGGAAAGUCUAAGGAUGAUGAUGGUCAUGAUGAUGAGCAGGAUGGAGAGUCUGAGGAUGGAGAUGGAACGGAGGGUGUGUGGUAUCCUGGAGGUCCCUAUGACUUGUCUUUGUUGCCUAAGUUUGGACAACACAUAGCACAUGACGUCUGGAAGUCAUACAUCAACCCUGAGUUCCAAUGUAGGGGUCCAUUGAAGAUCCAUCAUCAUGGAGAACACUUAUAUCCUGUAAAGUUCUACUCCAAAAAAGUGAAGGAACUUGUGGCAGAUGCAGGGUUAUUACACCUUCCGUAUAGUUGUAAUGGCGGCUCAGUUGACCUUAGCAUCGUGACUGCCUUUGUUGAGCGAUGGAUGCCAGAGACGUCCUCAUUUCAUAUGUCGUGGGGCGAGAUGACGAUCACUCUGGAUGACGUCUCAGCUCUAUUGCACAUUCCUGUGGAGGGGUCAUUUUUCUCAUUCGGCAAGCCGACUAAGGAAGAGGCUUCCCUUAUGGUUGUUGAUUUGCUGGGGGUGGGAAUUGAGAAGGUGGAGGCUGAGUUUCGGAAGUGUAGAGGUCUUAGUCUGCGGUAUGCUUGGCUUCUUCAGCUUGUGGUGGAGCAUGUGAAGAAAGAGAAAUGGACAGAAGCAGCCCGAGCUUACCUGUUACGCUUGGUUGGCAUGACUCUCUUUUGUGAUAAGAGUAACAUGUAUGUCAAUGUUGCCUAUCUUGAGCUUUUCAGGGAUAUUAGCUUGGUUGGUCAGUAUGCUUGGGGUGCGACCGCGUUGACAUAUUUGUAUUGCCAGUUAGGGGAGGCUUGCAAAAAGUCUGAGAAGACAGUUGCUGGGUAUUUGGGUUUGCUACAGGUCAACAUUUGACUUAUUUGUUGCUAAGUUCAUUUGUAUUUUUCGUAUUUUAAUACUAACACCUUAGAGUUGCAGACGUGGGUAUAUGCACGCUUUCCUGGGUCGCUGUUUGAGAGGUCGAAGUUCCAUAGCUACAAAGAUUAUAUGCCUGUGGCUAGGAGGUGGUUGGCAUGCAGUGAGAUAAAGAAAGUGGAGCAGAAGAGACUUAAUCUUGUUAACUUCCCUGCUGGUGGAGUGAUUUGGAGGCCUUAUGUGGACAUUAUGUUCAUCGUCCAUUUGAACAUGUCUCACUGUAUAGUGGAUUCAUCAGGUUUAGCAGCUCAGUUUAUCCAUACCUACCUAAGCGUGUAUCCAGGCAGUUUAGGAUUGUGCAUUCCAAGCCUCGAGGCCCUCCAACGAAAGUUUCAUGCGAAGAUUGUGAUGCUAUGUGGAUGGAUUGGCGGAGCCAUACUAUUAGAGGAACCUAUGUUGAUUACCCCCACGAGUGUGCUGCUGAGUACAAUGACUGGUACAAACAACACUCACAUCCUUUCCUGAUUCCUGAGGAGAUGAGAGUUGACCGUUGGUCAUUUCUUGAGGGUCAGAUUGCUUUGCUGUCGACAUACUCUACUGUUGCUGUUGAUCUAGAGACUGUUGGGGCACCCGCAUAGGGCACAACCAUGUGGGAUGUAGUUCAUACUAUGCAUUCCAUUAUUCAUAAUACAUUGCAGGGACAGGAGGAGCCAUGACAACGGAGAAAGAGGAGGAAUGCUAGCGGGAUUGGGACUUCAGCUGAUUAUGAGUGAUGCUAGUGUUUAUGUUGUUGGACAUGGAUGUGUUUAUGUUGUUUAUGUUGUUGGACAUCUUUGUUUAUGUUGCGUAUGUUGUUUGUGUUGUUGGACAUGGAUGUGUUUAUGUUGUUUAUGUUGUUGGACUUUGCUAGUUGUGUAUAUGUUUAUGGAUCUUGAACUGGAUAUGGAUCAACCUCUCUUUUCUCAUAACAACAUAAACAUAAAUAGGAACAUAUCGCUUAAGAACAUAAAUACGAAUAUAGUCAUGAAAGCGGUUUACAUAAGGUCUAUUACAUAAUUUAGAAUGCCCAUAAAUUCACUAAGAUCUAUCACAUUACAACAAUUAUUAAUCCUCACCAAGGUCUAUUACAGAGUGAUCACCACCACCAUGUUUAGCGGUAAGAUAUGCACUAUAAGCGUCAAUUCGAGCAGAAUAGGGAUCAACCCAAGUCUUGGCCUCGUCCCUGCGGUUAUAUGUCCACAUGUGAGCAGGGAGAGGCAUUGGGUGCCCAUCACGAAGAACAACCUGCAUUGGGAAAUUAAGCAUCUUAGAACACCAUAAAUAUAAAUAUACUUUAAAAGACCACAAUACAGUAAGAGUCAAAUACACCAAUAAAGUAAUUUUUGUUAACAAAUGUAACUGCCAUGCGUUUGUGGAGUGCCGGUGGGUCAGGACUUCCUCUCAACGGGAAGAAAGUGUUACAUCCACUAACAACAUGAACACCACUUUAUAAGUUGUGGAUAUAAUGUAUGCCAUAUUAGGAACGAUCAUCCACUUAUCGUUUCCUAUUGGCCCAUCUGAAGUGACAUAUAAAGCACAACGUAUCUCAUUUGCCUCAGCUAUCCCAAAUAUUGAACAGUACAUGCCAAACUCAGUGUCAAGCUCAUGGAUCAGAGUCUGACGAACAAUCGGCCAGUUGUCUUCUCCCAUAUCUAACAUUGCAGCAACACAUCUAAAUCCGCAGUGUCCGUCUCCCUUUACAUGAACCAAGGAAACAAUGAAUGGAUGAAACUCUUCGUGGAUUUGUCUCAACGUGCUUGGGCGGAGGCUUUGAUUCUUUUGGUUGGGAGGAAUGACAGCAUUUGGUGUGGAGUUGCUACCUUCCCAAGAGCUCGGAUAUUGCACAUCAAUAUGCUCCCAACGAGAUGCAUAACGUUUUGUAGAGCGCUCACUAGGUACUUUGAUACCCUUUGCUGUGACCUUUUACGAAGAGCCUUUUUACCUACCCUUAGUUGGGACCUUCUUUGGAGGAGGACACAUGGAAGUCCUUUCCGGGAAAGAAAUCAUUCUAAUGCUAUCAAUGAUGGACUUCCUCACUGCCGCAGAAGAUCCGUCAAAUUUAACUUUUAAAGCUUCAAGUUCAGACUCAAAACUGACGCUCAACUCAGGAUCAAUGGCAGGGUCUGAACAAUCCCAACUCAAUUUCCUCCAAUGGGGAUGUACCGCAAGUAAUGGGACAGAAGUUAACUUCUCAAGCUCACAGGCACAGGGUAGUCCAUGGGUUCUUCUAAUCGCACAACCGCAAUAUAAACCAUCAACACGGGGCUUACCGAUUUGUUUCCUCUCUCUAGCAAUCAUGUGCAAUGCUGCUCUAGGAACGAAGCCUCGCAAAUUCUUAUAAAACACAUCAUUGAGAGUAUGCUCGGUGACAAAAAUGUUGAGCUGGUAGGAUUCUUUAAUCUUGUCAUGUUGCAUGAUAAGAAGCUUGUUGACCGCAGUCCAAUCUGUAACCAAGUCACCUUUGCUAUCUGAAAGAAGCUUCUUCAAAUUUGAAUGCGCACCUUCAACUCUAUCAACAAAUAACAUAACAAUAUAAAUUCACCAAAAAACAAAGAUUAUUGAGGAAGGAAGCUAUAAUUAGUAACUACCUGUUUGUUGUUGUGCACCCCAUAUGCAUGCAGGUAUCAAUCUCGAACUUCACAAAUUUAUGUCUGAAUGGCAACCAAUUGGUUUCAAGGUAUGUCCAGAGGUUACACACCCUCACCUGCAUCGCUGCAACCUCCUUAAUGUAGUCAGCCUCAGUUGUAGCAUACAUCAACCGAUUCCAGAUAUCAGUAAUAAAUUCACGUCUUUCUAUCGACUGAACAAGUGUCUUCAUCUUCCCGGUCACACUCUUUGAAACGUGAAAUUGGCACAACAAAUGGCGAGCUGCGGGGAACACGUCUUCAACGACUUUCAUCAAAACAGUGUCCUUGUCAGUGACAAUUACCUUAGGAAGAUUUUCUUCCGUCACGAUCAACCCUUUCAACCUAUGUAAUGCCCAUAACACCUCAUAUGCGCGCUCAUUCGCCAUGUAAGCAAUGGCAAUAUAGUAUGUCAAAUUAGUUGAUGUCACCCCAACCAUUUCAAGUAAAGGAAUUUUGUACCUGUUGGUCUUGUAUGUACUAUCCAUAAGCACCACAAUAGGAAAUUCAUUAAAAAGAUGAAUAGAAUCAGGGUGAGCAAAGAAGAGAGAUUUAAUCACAUUAGAACCACCCUCACCCCAACCAGUGUGCAUAUUUGUCACCUUCCAACAACUUCAUCAAGUGUUGAAUCUCCGAGAAAGGUCCCCUCUGAAUCCUAUUGUAGGCUUGCUUCUCAUUGUAGAUUUGUUUGAUUCUAGUUAGGUUGUUGGGGUUUUUCUCCCUUAGUGCAAUCAACAUGUCGCUUGGCUUAACCAUUUUCUCAAUCAUACUUCCCACCAUGGCAUUUUCAUCAGGAUUUAGAGGACCAACAAAAGAGUGACCUUGUAAUGUUUCAGCUGUAUAAUGGUUGUGAAUCCCAGAAUGAACUAUCACCUUCCAUCGCCCAUCAACCAUGCUAGGCCUUGCUCUUAGCCUGAAAGGGAAAUCAGACUUUUUUGUUCCAGUUUGACUGCGCUUUAACACUUGAGCCGCUGGUAUAUACUUCCCACCACGUUCACAUCCCAAUUUUAUCACAGGCUUCCUUUUUGCAAAUCCGUAGUCAGACCUAAUCAUAAUAACAACAUAACCAUUCUCUUUACCUACAUGGAGAGCCCAAUCAAUAAGAUCAGUGUGGGAUGCAAAAGCAUGCACAUACAAAAAUUAUAAAUCAUUAUCUCAUCACGUAAACGUAACCAUGUCAUUACUAAACAAUUUUAAUACUUACUUUAUCAGUAGUAAAAGCCUCUGUGAGAUCCACACUAACAACAAUUGUGCCAUCAUGUUCAUUAUCAACCUCAUCAGAAGUUCCAGCUGCCAUAAUGCUCCUAAUAGACAACAAACUUCACCAAUUCAAACACCAAAACCAGAACCUGCAACACAAUCCGUAAUUUAAAUUACGGUAACCUCUGCUACUUAGAUAGCGGAAGCUACCGCUACUAAGAUAGCGGACGCUACCGCUACUUAGAUUGCAGACGUUACCGCAACUAAGUUAGCGGAUGUUACCGUCAUUUAAGUAGCGGACACAAUAAAGCGUCUGCAUUUUAAAUGACGGAUCAACCUAGAACCCAUAUAUUCUACCCAGAUUUACGCGAAAAACAGUAAAAAUCCCAAAAUCAUACAUAUUUUGAGCUUCUAUUCUUCUCUUGAUCUCACACACUUAUAUUCUACACUGAUUUGGAGCUUUAAAUACCUCUAAGGUGUGUGAUGUGUUGAUUUAGAAGAUGAAAUAGGGAUGGGGAAGGUGAAAGUGGAAGAGGAAGAAGGAAGAAGAAGGUGAGGUUGGGAGAGUAUUUUUUUACUACUUUGUAUGUUUUCUAUGUUGGGGGUAUUUUUGGGAUUAAAAAAAGGGGGGAUGGUGUGGAUAGUAAAUAUGGAGGGUACAAAUAGUCUUGGCCAAGAUAAUUUGUUAGGUUAGCCGAAGUUGGGUCAUCACAGUUUUGUUACAUGCCAUUGAACAACAUUUGAUUGACCAUUUUAGGAUAUGAGCUUAGUUGAUUGGCACACCAAACAUGCACCAUCUCAUGUAAAGGAGCUUUCAAAUGUUGGAAGUGUGAGUUUGGAUUUAUGUUUAAUGUUGAACUGAAAGCGAGCAUUAAACUUAACGUGAAAAAUUCUAAUUUCUUUGUUGGUGUCUUAAAAUUAUGUUUGUAUUGGAUAUGACUUUAAACAAACAUGUAAAAAAUCAUUUCAUUCUCAAGCAUGUUAAGUUUCAGGUCUAAAAGUGAGUUUCUCUAAGAGCAGAUUGACAGGAGUGUGUAUGAAUUCAGGUGAUCUUAAUCGGUUUGCAAGAAUCCUAAAUUGCAAAACAAUGGCUAUACCUUUCAUCUACUUGGGAAUUCCGGUGGGGGCAAAUCCAAGAAGGAAGGCGACUUGGGAUCUGUUGAUUCAAAGGUUGAAAAAGAGACUCUCCUCUGGCCGGAAGAACAAGACGCUUUCUUUUGGAGGAAGAGUGUGUCUAAUUAGAAGUGUACUAUCUUCUAUUCCUCUUUUUUACUUAACCUUUUUCAAGAUGCCCAAGUGUGUCUCUUCUCUUUGUAAGAAAAUCCAAAAGAAAUUUUUGUGGGGAUGUGACGAAGGGGUAAGAAAGAUAGCUUGGGUAAAGUGGGACUCAGUUCGUCAUCCGAAGGAGGUAGGGGAUUAGGCAUAAAGGACUUAGAGACCUUUAACCAAGCUUUUUAGUAAAAUGGAGAUGGAUAAUUUUAAGAGACCAAGAUAGCUUGUGGUGUAGGGUGCUGCACGCAAAACAUAGGGUAGCAAACAGGGUUAUAUAGGAGUGGGCGAGGGCAAGAGGAUCUGUGUGGUGGCGGGAUCUGGAAAAUAUUUGGGAGAUGAGGAUUGGUUCGAGAAUAACGUGAGGAAGAAAUUAGGACACGGGAGUUCUUCCUUGUUCUGGGUAGAUAUAUGGAGGUUGAGGGAGUCUAAUUUGAAAUCACAAUUCAUAAGACUUUUUGAUAUCUCAACACAACAAGCUUGUUCUAUCAAAGAGAUGGGAAGGUGGGAAGAAGGCAUGUGGAAGUGGAAAUUUAGUUGGAGGAGGGAACUCUUUGUGUGGGAGAAACACUUACUUGAGAAGAUGUUACAAGAUUUUGAGUCUGUGCAAUUGAAACAAUGGGAUCAAUGAUAUAUGGAUUUGGGAGGCCUCACCUGAUAGCAUCUUUAGUGUAAAAUCAGCCUAUGAAAUUCAGAUUGGGACAUCUCCACAUGGAGCAUUUGAGGUAUUCAAGCAUAUAUGCUCCAUCCCAGCUCCGUCAAAUGUACUAUCCUUCUCAUGGAGGGUGAUGCUAGACAGAAUUCAGACUCAAGAAAAUCUCAGGAAAAGGAGCGUCAUUCAACUGGGAACGUCGUGUCUCUGUUUGUUAUGCCUUGAUCAUGAGGAAAGCUUGAGCCAUUUACUAUUUUCCUGCAGAUUUGCCUGGUGUGUUUGGAUGGAGGUCUACAAGUGGUUAGGAGUGCGCUCAGUACUUGAAGAGGAAGCAAGAACUCAUUAUACAACAUGUGCAUAGCCUAUCUUAUGGAUCAAAGAGGGGUUGGUGGUCAGUGUGGGUGGCAACUACAUGGUCCAUUUGGCUCCAAAGCAAUGAAGUCAUGUUCAACUACGGUGUAGCUUGUAUUGAGAAGACUUUGGACCUAAUCAAAUUUAUAUCAUGGAAGUGGCUAAGGUGUAAAAAGAAGGGCUUCAUAAGCAGCUUCUAUGAAUGGACCUGCAAUCCCUCUAUUUGUUUAGGGGAGAACACUGCCUGACAUGUAUAAUCAAAUUUUCUUUUGGCUCUGCCUUGCCUAACUGUUAAUUCUCUAAAGCUCUAUCAGUGGAUGCUCUAUCUAGUAUGCUCAGCGUGGAAUUAGUCAUAAGUUUGGUGCUAUUGUUUGUUGCUGCUUGUUCCUCCUUUGAUGGAUGGGUCAUGCUACUUCCCUCGCAGCCAUCGUCUAUGGUUCUAUUUCGUCUCUAGUAAUUCUGUUUUUCCUCGGUUUUUUUUCUGUUUCUCUUUUUUUUUUUUUUCUUGUUAGCCGUGGUUGUGUCCUUUGGCUUCUCUCUUGUUUUUAAUCUUCUUUUUUCCUUGUACUGGUUUAGGCACGUAUUGUGCUCUUUUUCAAUAUAAUUAAUUGGCCUUACAAAAAAAAAGUUGUAGUCCAAGUUUAGUACACUAUUUUUCUCUAAACAUCAUUAAGUCCAAAUAUAUUGACCCGCUUCUAUAUAUUAUAAUAUAAGGUUAAAUAUAUUCUCAGUCUUUUACAUCUAAAUUUGGACAAUGCUUAUGAUGUGGCAAAUUUUUUGCUCAUUAAUAACCCUAUAUGACAAUCAUAGUCAAAUAUAGGUUGUCCAAUCACUGGGGUUGCCUAGACCCAUCCGGCCCGAAUCGGACCCGCUCAAACCGAGUCCAUUUUGACGAAAUUGGGUUAGUCAGGUUGGUAGACGGAUCUAGCGGGUGGUUCGUUUCGGUUUAAGGCAGUUCAUAUCAAUCGAUUCCGGUUUGAGCUAUGGUUCGACCAAACCGAUCGAAGUAAAAAACAAAAGACAAAAAAAAAAAAAGACAGCCCAGGCCCUAUUUGCAACGCAUUAGAGAUGGUCCAAAAAAAAUCCAGCCCAACUCUCUCCCAAAAAUCUAAACGCUUUUGAGAGACUAACCCUAGCUCUGAGUUCUCUUCUCCAUCACUGUUCUUUUCUUCGUCUCUUUUCUCUUGUCUCUUGUUCUCUUUCUUCAUUUCAAACAUUGGUAAUCAUGCACAAAAUCCAUGCCCCACCACCACCAUCUCUUGCUAUCUUCCCCUUCCGCCACCGAUUCGAAGAACCCAUAGUCCACCCCACCCAUCCGCCGAGAAUCAUCAUGAAGUUGGUAAUCAGUACCUCAUUUCAUACAUUGGUACAUAUACCACUGCCACAGAUUCAAAGAACCCAUGCUCCACCGCCACCGAUCCAUCCAGAAUCAUUAGGCAAGAGAGCUACCGGAACCCUAGCGCCACGUAUGUGCUCCAUCGCAUGCUCAUGAGUCCUGUCAUCUAUGGAUUUGGUGCCUCCUUUUUGUGAUCUUUUCAUGCUUUGUGAGAAUUUUCUAGAUUAGUGGUAUGUGUGAUUAGUAACUACUCUUCGUCUUUGUUUUAUUUUGUUAGUCUUUUUUAGAUCCAUCACUGAAAAACAAUUUUUUUUUCCUCCUCACUUUUUCUUUUCUCAUCGAUUACCAUUUAGCCGAGCGGAUUGACUCGCACCCGCAUCACCUGAGAUCCGACCAAAUAGAUGAUUUACACAAACGGUGGCGGACCUGGGUUUUUUGUGGUUUUCACCCAAUGAAACUGAUGUCGGCAGCCCGAAACCAACCGUAACCGCCCAAUGAACAACCCUACUUUUUACAUCAAUUUUAGUCUUUCCAAUUACUUUUACAUCAUUUUUUGUUCAUCUUUUCCCCCAUUUCCAACCACCCUCAACCACCACACAUGCUUCCCUGUAAGACCCUCUAUUUUUUGAUUGAAUUAAUCAUGGAAAAUAAUCAUAAUUUGUUGGAUGUUGAAUUUUCUGAUGUGUUGAUUUGUUAGUUGAAUUUGACCUAUGGUUGACUUGUGUGUUAUUUUUGUUGUUACUUUUGGUUGUCUUGCAUUUUGUCAAAAACAACCUGAUGUCGAAGCAGAUGUUGUGUCAUCUACCCACGUGUAGCACAUGACAUUAGGCCCUUACUUGGAGUGCUUAUGUGUGCCCUAGUGAAUCUCGUGAAUAUUUAUUUUGUGGUUAAUUGGGGGUCAAGUAGUUGUACCGUGGUUGCAUUUAAUGUGGGCUGGUUUAUUUGUUGAGACAGUCUCUGAUUGAAGAUUUUUUUCUAUUGUUUUAAUGGUGAUUUGAUUUGUAACGCAAUCAUAAUCUUGGAAGAUUGCGUUUGGAUUUGUUGGACUAUUUUCUUCAGCCUCUGCAAACCCUAGUGCCGCUGCUGAAGUAUAUAAAUAUGAAGACCUAAAACCUGAAGACUGACUAACGAAUAAAGAGAAAAUAUCAAGUGUUUUAGGAUUGUUAUUUGUCUUAGUCCAUGUUUCGUUGUGAACCAACUUUGCUCACUGAUUCUAUAAAGCAAGGUCGUGUUCUGUGUUGUUUGAGUGUUAAAUCUCUGAUUAAUUUUUGUUCUUACCAAUCACUGUGGCAGUGAUUGAGAGGAAGUGAGAGGGGCUCUCACACUUAGGGGGGAAUACUAAGUAGAAAUACAUUGGGUAGAUUAGGAAGAGAACUAUGAGCUGUGGUGUUCAUGAGUGUCUGUAGUUCCUAUAUCUUGAGAUAAUGGAUUUCUUUUCUUUGGGUGAAAACCCUCCAGACGUAGGUGAAGUUUCACUGAACUAGAUUAACAACUUUUGUGUUGUGUUUUGUUUCUUUUAUGCUUUUGUUGUUUACUAUUGUUCAAUUGUCGAAGUUGUUGUUCCAGCAUCGCGUAGAACAUCUGCAGUAAGUGGACCAGAAUUUCAAUUUCAAUUUUGGAAUAAUAUUACUUGAAUUGGAUUGCUAGCUGAUUUGGAAUGGAAUGUUUGAUUAUGUGAUUAUGUGAGGUGUAGAAAUUUAUACUUAUAUGCAUAAGUGUAUAUGUGCAUAAAAUAUACAUAUUUUGUGGAUUGUGGAAUUUUUCUGAAAGAAAAAAUAAUUUCCUUAAUUUUUUAGUAAUGCUUGAUGCAUGCAUAUUUUUCUCGGGGAAAAUAUUUGUUUGAGUAAUUUUAUUGGAUGAAAAUAUUUUGAUAAAUGAAAAUAUUUAUACCUCUUCUCGUCGGCUGUGGAAAACCUUUAUGUUCUGUCAACAUGUCAACAUGUGGGGGAGCUUUCCGAUUUGGUUUCGUGAGAUACUCUUCCGUGGAGCUGGCCUCUCUUGCUGUCAAUCUGUUCAACAACGUUCUUGUAACGUUCUGUUUUUUUUUUCUAUUUUACAAAAUAUAAUAAUAGAAAAAAAAUAGAUAACCUAGUAAUUAAAAAUAGGAGAUAACCACCAGAUCCUAACUCCAAAUUGUAGUUCUCUCUCUCACGCUGAGUUUACACUAUGGAUGAAAACCCUAAACACCCUACGCACGUUAAUCUCCUCCACGCACGUCGCGAACUCCCUGCACCCUUCAUCUUCUUCACCAAGUGAAGCCAAAACGUUUCCUUUUUCCUUGACCUGCUCCACGCUCUAUCCUUCUUCAGUUCCAUCGCCAACACAUUGAAGAGCGAGUGCAACCGAAGUGCCGAAACAUGGCAGAGAUGUUGAAGUUCUUUGCCGCAAAGGAGAGGGGCAGUGCCUAUAACGUUGAAUGAAGCCAGUGAACUGCAAAACCUCAUUCGUUUGUCGCCUCAGAAGCAGAGUAAUCAAGUUGGCUUGAAGUGGAGCAUGUAAUGGACAAUGAGAAGUAAGCAAUUGAACGAGAAUGGAGUUUUCGGUGACAGAGUGAGAAAUCAUGGCCCUUGAAAGGUUUAUUUGGCAGCCUGAGUAUAGUGCUCCCCAAGUCGUGUUGUGUCAGCACAAGGAAAGCUAUAGAUGACACACAAGAAAGAUGCAAAUGCCUUGAGUUGGAUUUGAUCAUGCAAAGAAUUGUUAGCUAUUGGCUCAUUUGAGUAUACUGGAGGUGUUGGCAGCAAUCGUAUUGAUUCUUCAUUGUUAUUCUCAGGCAGCUGAGUAGCAGGUUGUUUUCAGAUUCAGAUCAUUCGGUUUUUUUGUUGGAGUUUGGUCAUUCUGCAGCUAUAGGGAGUCUUAGGUUGAGUUUUUUAUGAUUUUUAACUUGUAUUUUAUUGUAAGAAUUUGCACUUUGUGCUGUACUUUGAAGAUCACAUCAAUGAAAUUCUGCUUAUGAAGAAUUACAUAUUUGACAGAUUCUGUUUUUAUGAAAAUUAUUUGGAAAAUAUUGUUAUGAGAAAUAGGCUUGCCAGACUAAGGUGAUAGUCUGUGCGCCGGUUGCGACUUAGUAUUUUGGGUCGUGACAAAGUUGGUAUCAGAGCUUUGGCUGUGGGUCCUAUUAGCUGCAGACAUGAUGUGGUGAUAGAAUCUUUCUAGUAAAUUGUGAACCGCGGCAAAACUUACUUCCAAGAUGCUAUUAACACUUCAUGAGAGUCCUAAACUUGUUUCAAAAGUGUGAUUUGAGUUUGUUCCUCAUUCACCGAAAUCUGAGUCAUGUCUUAUCUACGAUGAUUAUUCUUUUGUCUUGUUCACUGAGGAUGCCACCUAAGUUUGGAUUCCUAGUAGAUGAUGAAUUUGUUACCCACAUCAGGAUUCUUCUCGAAGUGUUUGUGGUCGGCGUCGUAGUGUAAGCCAAGGACCAUCGGUGUUAGGCGUGAGUUUUCCACUGAUGUAGCUCAUAUUAAGAUUCCUAAAUUGAGGUGAAGAAAUCUAUGAAUGACAAAACUUAUAGGUGGUAUGUAAGGAUUGUAACACAAUGUGAAAUAACAUGUCGGAGUUGCUGUCAGGAAGAACCAACAAGAGGACCGACAUCAGACUACUUAUGAGCGUUGGUCAGGUGCUAGAUAAAAUGGAACAACAAGUAGGUGUGUCACAUUGCCUGGUCUCAUCAGGCUUAAUUAUCAUACUUUGCUGGUUCUAGUGCAAGGGAGGAUCCCAAAGGUUUAUUAAUGCUUUGGAGAGGCUAUGGAGAGUACUCGGAUGAUCACACUUAAGGGCAACAAAGUUAAUAUCAUUCAGUUGGAGGGUGUAGUAUAUGAUUUAUUUGAUGACUUUAGGUGUAUGAGAAUGGUGAGAUCACCUCAAAAGAGAAACAUGGAAAAUUUUACCCAUAAAUUUAUAAAUCGUUUUCUUCUAGUGAGUGUCUGAAAUGGUUUGGCACAUGAGUUGGAGCGGUCGGAGUACGCUAAGAAAAAUGACAUCACAUUCUAGUGAACAUUUUUAAGGCAAUGUACAAGUUCAUAAAUAGAUUUUGGGGGCUCUUUAUGAUCCAUAUUUCCUCAAAGGAAUUUCUGCACGAGAUUUACACCUUGUCCUUCUGUCAUGAGUUUCAUCUUUUUUUUGGAGAUUAUAAGGUGUGCUGUUAGUGCGGCCAGACAUGUCAUAUUAGGAGGGAUUGUCUUGUGGUUGUGGUGCAACUUCCCUCUAGUCACAGAUAAGUGUUAUUAUGAUCGACUUUAGCAUCUUCUCUGACCCCUCCAACACUUGUGAGGAAAACUUUGAGUUCUUUGGUCAUGGUCAUGGAGUAUCUUAAAGAGUAGUAAAGGAUUUGGUGGUCAAGGUCAAUGACAAGCGGGAGAGUCAAUCUUGAGUCUUGCUUUGCCUCUUUAUGAUGCCUAAGAAACCAAUGCAAUGGUUGUAAGUAUACUUUCUUUGUGCUCUUGAGAUGCUUAUGUUUUGUUUGAUCCUAGAGCUACGCACUAAUUUGUAUCAUUAUUGUUUAUUUCUUAAGCUAGUAAAUUUUAUCCGUCUUUAAAUGACAUCUUAGUUGUGGCUACGCCGUUUGGGGAGUUUUGGUAGUUGAUUAUGUGCAUCGUCAAUCCGAGGUAUUAAUUGAAGAUUGAGGGUGGUUGCUAGACAUCAAAGCGUUAGACAUGGUUAAUUUUGAUGUGAUCUUAGGGUAUGGAUUAGUUGACCUUUUGUUAUGAUACUGUGGAUUGUUAUAAUGAAGUAGUGAGAUUUUAAUUACUUGGAGAGUUAUCUUUCUUAUUUAUGGGAGAGAAAAGUUGGACUCCAUAUAAUCUAAUUUUAGCAUUGAGUAUUACAGGGAUACUAAGGAAGAGUUAUCAAUUAUAUUUGGUCUCGGUAAAUGAUACUCAAACAUUUGAAAUGAAACUGGAAAGAUUAUUAUAGUGUAUGAAUUUCUAAACGUAUUUCCUGAAACUUUCCUGGUGUACUGCGCAAUAGAGGAAUAAAGUUUUCUAUAAAUUGGGUUUAUGACAACAGUAAUGUUUGUGAGAAGAAAAAAAUAAGAAAGAAGAAGAUGGAACUAUGCAGAAAGGUCUUUACUACAGGUGUUUACCAAGAGUGUCAUGUGUUACCACAAGCAGUUGGAUGUGUGACAAAAAGAACAAAUAUCAUUCACCUCGCAUAGAUGAGUUAUUUCUUUGGUUGUAAGGAGCUCAAUAUUUGAGAAAGUUUGUCAUGUGAUCUAAGCAUCAUCAAUUGAAGAUUAAGAAAGAAAACAAUUUGAAGACAGCUUUCAUAACAUGUUUUGAUCAUACUUUAGUUAUUACUCAUGCUCUUGGACUUAAUGAUGCAGCUGCUGUUCUUUUAAGGAUUUUGUGAAUUACGUGUUGGAAGAAUUGUUGGGUCAUUUCAUGACUGUAUUUUUAUGGUUCUCUUUAGUCUGAUGAAAAAAAAAAAGAGCAUCAAAAGCUUGUUGAUAAUAGAUUUUGGUUUGGGGCUGUCAUUCAACUUCAUUGUUGACUCAAAGUGCAAAUUCAUUUUUUUUUAUUUGGUGGGUGUUAGGAAACAAUAUGAAGUCAAGAUCUGAAGGUGAUAGAGGAUGUUUAGGGUGGUAAAGUUACACAAUUCUUAGUAGACUUUGAUGGCUUUUAACGACUGGAGUAUCAGUUGUGUGUGCCUAAUGCAUAUAGCUUGAGGAGGGAAGUAUUAGAGAGGCUCAUCAUUCUCCUUAUACUAUACACCUAGAUUUUAAUAAAAAUGUAUUGAGACUUGGAGAAUUUUUAUUGGUGGGAAAAUAAGAUCAAAUACAUAGCAAAGUUUGUUUCUCAAUGUUUUUAACAAGCAGUCGGGUGAAGGAUAAGCAACAAUAUCCAUCAAGGUUGCUUCAAUUUAUUGAGGUACCAAAGUGGAAGUGAGAAGGAAUUGCUAUGAAUUUUGGUACAAGUUAUGUUAGGACUUCAAUGGGUUAUGAUUCGUAAUAAGUGAUUAUAUAUUGAUUAGCUAAGUCUGCAUACUUCUUACUUGUGAUGACUUAGACUGAAACUCGCAAAGCUAAGCUUUACUUGGAUGAUGUUGUCUCUUUGCAUGGUGCGCAUGUGUCUAUAAUUUUAGACUUGGAGGAUAUGCUUCGUGAUUAUAUUUUAGGACUUAGAGAAGUUGAGAUCAAGAUUUUUUUUUUCUUUCAUGAGUUUUGCUCAUAAAAACAACUAUCCGUCCAACAUAUAUAUGACACUAUUUAAGGCCCUGUAUGAUAAGUGAGCAGAUUUCCAAUAGGUCGGUUUGAAGCUGGAGAAGCUAUUUUUGUAGGCCUAGUACUCAUCCACGAAGCUAUACAGAAAGUUAAGCUGGUUCGAGAUCAUGGUGCAACAUCUCAGAAUUAGCAAAAGUCUUAUGGUUGCAGUAGGCGAGGAGUUUGCAAUUGGAGGUCAAGUGUUCUUACUUAUUUCUGCAGCAAAAUGAGUGUUGCAGUUUGGAAAAUAAAAGGAGAAACUAAGUCUCAAAUUCACUAAACCAUUUGAAAUUUUGGAGGUUGGUCCGGUGGUUAUCAGCUAGCAGUUGCCUAGAUCUUUUGGCAGUUCAUUUGGAUUUCAUAUUUCUAUGCUUCAUGAUAUGCAUAUAAGAUCAUUCUCAUGUUACAUGUUAUGACUUAUGAGGAUAUACAACUUAAUGGACAUUUAUCUGAUAAGAAGUAUCAAGUAGCUACAAUUAAUGGAUGAGUGAAGCAUCUGCACACCGAAGAUAUUGGUUCAACAAAAGUAAUUUGACAAUGACUAUUUGGUGGGGAGACACGACUUGGGAAUCGAGACAAUCAUGCGAGUGAAGUAUCCCCUCUUACUUGAACCUCAAGGUUGGAUAAGGCUUUAAAAUUCGAGGACGAAUUUUCUUUAAGAGGGGAAGAUUGUAACGUUCUGUUUUUUUUUCUAUUUUACAAAAUAUAAUAAUAGAAAAAAAAUAGAUAACCUAGUAAUUAAAAAUAGGAGAUAACCACCAGAUCCUAACUCCAAAUUGUAGUUCUCUCUCUCACGCUGAGUUUACACUAUGGAUGAAAACCCUAAACACCCUACGCACGUUAAUCUCCUCCACGCACGUCGCGAACUCCCUGCACCCUUCAUCUUCUUCACCAAGUGAAGCCAAAACGUUUCCUUUUUCCUUGACCUGCUCCACGCUCUAUCCUUCUUCAGUUCCAUCGCCAACACAUUGAAGAGCGAGUGCAACCGAAGUGCCGAAACAUGGCAGAGAUGUUGAAGUUCUUUGCCGCAAAGGAGAGGGGCAGUGCCUAUAACGUUGAAUGAAGCCAGUGAACUGCAAAACCUCAUUCGUUUGUCGCCACAGAAGCAGAGUAAUCAAGUUGGCUUGAAGUGGAGCAUGUAAUGGACAAUGAGAAGUAAGCAAUUGAACGAGAAUGGAGUUUUCGGUGACAGAGUGAGAAAUCAUGGCCCUUGAAAGGUUUAUUUGGCAGCCUGAGUAUAGUGCUCCCCAAGUCGUGUUGUGUCAGCACAAGGAAAGCUAUAGAUGACACACAAGAAAGAUGCAAAUGCCUUGAGUUGGAUUUGAUCAUGCAAAGAAUUGUUAGCUAUUGGCUCAUUUGAGUAUACUGGAGGUGUUGGCAGCAAUCGUAUUGAUUCUUCAUUGUUAUUCUCAGGCAGCUGAGUAGCAGGUUGUUUUCAGAUUCAGAUCAUUCGGUUUCUUUGUUGGAGUUUGGUCAUUCUGCAGCUAUAGGGAGUCUUAGGUUGAGUUUUUUAUGAUUUUUAACUUGUAUUUUAUUGUAAGAAUUUGCACUUUGUGCUGUACUUUGAAGAUCACAUCAAUGAAAUUCUGCUUAUGAAGAAUUACAUAUUUGACAGAUUCUGUUUUUAUGAAAAUUAUUUGGAAAAUAUUGUUAUGAGAAAUAGGCUUGCCAUACUAAGGUGAUAGUCUGUGCGCCGGUUGCGACUUAGGAUUUUGGGUCGUGACAGUUCUUUUAGGUGGGUCAUUCAUGUCGGUGGAUCUGGAGAGAUUUCCGCGAUCGGGAAGUUCUGGUCAGGUUGCUGAGAAGGGUUUCCCUUGUGCUCCGUCAACCCCGGCUGUGACGAUUAGCUCCGGGAAGAAGAGGCCUCUGAGGUUUUUUUUCUGAUGUUUCUGCUGUGGAGGAGUCUUUGGUCUUGGGUCUCUCACGGGCCUCUCCUUGCCCGCGUUGCCCACCUGCUCUCCUAUUCCCUGAGAUCAUUUCCGCUGGGUGUAUGGGCGGUGAGGUUUCGCCGGUCAGUUCUGAGGGGAGGUGCCCCCUGUCGCUAUGUUCCCAGAAGUGGGGAUGGACUUUUCUGGUACUGUCAUCGCUGAUUGUUUGAGGGAAGCUUGUUGUUCCUCUACGCCGGACUGUAGCGGUGUUGGGGAGGGCUUGGUGGUUGCUGAGGAGACGGUGACGGAGCGGCGAAGAAGAGGGCGGCCUAAGAAAGUCUCUGCUUCAGGUAAGCACAAGGCUCUUCGUGUUUUGAUCAAUGAGGUUGCCGAGAUUCCGAGAGCUGUGGUUUUGCCUGAAACUAGCUCUUCGUUGAUCCUUCCUGAAGCCCGGGGUUCUGAUCGUGCUUUGACACGUGCUCGAAGGGAUUUUCUUAUUGUCAAACAGCUGGGAGUCGUCCCCAUUGGGUAUGAGGAGGAAGCAAUUCAAAGCUUUGUUGAUCAUCUCAUCGCGAAUCAUCCGAGAUUGUACGGGGGUCCUUAGCGAGUCUGUUGCGGUUUGGCUGUUUUUUUGUGGGGGUUUUGAAUUGUUUUUCUUCAGGGGUUUUGCCUUUGAGCUUACAUUGUUGCCUUGUCCCCUGUUGGCUUUUGUAGGUUUUGUCUUUGGCUGUUCUCCUUGGUAGUUUUUUAGCUGGGUUCAACCUUUGGGGUGUUGGGGCGCUUUGGGUUGUUUUGCGGUUUUUAGCGGGUUUUUUUUGUUACCGCCGAUGCUGGC